rnacentral:lncRNA from 1 species
AUGGAUGCGCCGCCAACGCCUGGCACCGGGUGCCCAAGGCAGAAGGUGCCAGCACGGGGCUGGGCUGGGCAGGCGCCGAGGGCGAGCCGCUUGGUGGCUGCAGGAAGCGGCUGCGCUGAGGGCUCCUCUCGCCUGGGGCCACCAGACUGGCGCGUGGCUUCCCGCGGACCGGAGGCCUGCGGCACGCCGGCGGCUUCCUCCCGGACUCGAGAAGGCCCUCGCUGGGCCUCCAGGACCCCCGAGCCGUGGGCAACCCUCUCUUCUGCCCGGCCUCCCCCUUCCUUUCACGGAGCCAUUCCCAGGGGCACCGGCCCUUCCCCAGGGCGGGCACUGCCCAGGGUGCACGGCGCGACCUGGGGAGACAAAGCGAGGCUGCGCGGAAGCCAUGGCGGCCACGUCCAGCUCCCAGCGCCGGCCCGUUUCUCCUCUGGCGAUUCCGCCCAUCUCUCCCUCUGUCCAGGCCUGGCUCGGCCCAAAGCACGCCGUGGCCUCCCCGAGAGAGGAGAACCGCAGGCGCUCUGGGCCUCCCCGGCUCCGGCGGCCUCCAGGCCAGGCCACAAGCUCCCCCGGGGGCUCUCGGACGUGCGUGGCAGCCUGGCGGCGGCCUCUCUGCUUCCCGGCCCAAAGCGGGCCGAGGGCCGGCCAGGCUUCCUUCCGACCCCCUCCUCGCCGCGCUCGGUCAGCCGGGACGGCCCGCGGCCCCGAGGAGGGCAGAGAUGGCGGCAGCCGGGGGGGCGCCCUGGGCGCAGAGGGCCUGCGGACCCCUGCCCACUCGGUGCUGCACAAGGGAAGGCGGGGAGGAGGCUGGAGCCACCGUCUGUCUGCUGGGGACACUGGACGGCAGCAGCGCGGGAGGACUCUGCUUCCUCUCUGUACGCUGAGGGGCAGACACGCCGACACGCCACACAUGUGUACACACGUGUACACUCCACACAUGCCACACAUGUAAACACAGGCACAUGCUCUCACACAGGACACAUGUGUGCAGGGCACACCCCACGCGCCACACAUGUACACACCCACACGCACACGUGA